rnacentral:rRNA from 1 species
AUUGAACGCUAGCGGCAGGCCUAAUACAUGCAAGUCGAACGGUGUCUUCGGACAUAGUGGCGCACGGGUGCGUAACACGUAUGCAACCUACCUUACAUUGGGGGAUAGCCUUUCGAAAGGGAGAUUAAUACCGCAUAAGACAGUAGCUGGGCAUCCAGCAGCUGUUCAAGAUUUAUCGAUGUAAGCUGGGCAUGCGUCCAAUUAGCUAGUUGGUGAGGUAACGGCUAACAAAGGCAAUGAUUGGUAGGGGAACUGAGAGGUCAAUCCCCCACACGGGCACUGAGAUACGGGCCCGACUCCUACGGGAGGCAGCAGUAGGGAAUAUUGGGAAAUGGACGCAAGUCUGACCCAGCCAUGCCGCGUGCAGGAUGAAGGCGUUAUGCGUUGUAAACUGCUUUUAUACAGGAAGAAACGACUCUUGCGAGAGGCAUUGACGGUACUGUAUGAAUAAGCACCGGCUAACUCCGUGCCAGCCGCCGCGGUAAUAC